AGUAUGAGAGGUACGCCUGCCCAGUGAAAACUUUUAACGGCCGCGGUAUCCUAACCGUGCAAAGGUAGCAUAAUAACUUGUCCCCUAAAUAGGGACUAGCAUGAACGGCCAACUGAGGGCCCAACUGUCUCCUAUGACUAAUCAAUGAACCUGACCUCUCAGUUAAAAGGCUGAGAUAAAACCAUAAGACGAGAAGACCCUGUGGAGCUUUAAAACUACCACUUACACCCCCCCCCCAAGUGGCCUUUUUAAGUUGGGGCAACUACGGAAACAAACAAAACUUCCACGAACAGGACUAACCAUCCACACACCAACAGGUAAACAAACCAACAAUACAACCAUGACCCAGACAAAACUGAUCAGCGAACCAAGUUACCCCAGGGAUAACAGCGCCAUCCUCUUUAAGAGCCCCUAUCGCCAAGAGGGUUUACGACCUCGAUGUUGGAUCAGGACCCCCCAGUGGUGCAGCCGCUACUAACGGUUCGUUUGUUCAACGACUAAUGUCCUACGUGAUCUGAGUUC
rnacentral:rRNA from 1 species